AGUCUGACCGAGCAACGCCGCGUGAGUGAAGAAGGUUUUCGGAUCGUAAAACUCUGUUGUUAGAGAAGAACAAGGACGUUAGUAACUGAACGUCCCCUGACGGUAUCUAACCAGAAAGCCACGGCUAACUACGUGCCAGCAGCCGCGGUAAUACGUAGGUGGCAAGCGUUGUCCGGAUUUAUUGGGCGUAAAGCGAGCGCAGGCGGUUUCUUAAGUCUGAUGUGAAAGCCCCCGGCUCAACCGGGGAGGGUCAUUGGAAACUGGGAGACUUGAGUGCAGAAGAGGAGAGUGGAAUUCCAUGUGUAGCGGUGAAAUGCGUAGAUAUAUGGAGGAACACCAGUGGCGAAGGCGGCUCUCUGGUCUGUAACUGACGCUGAGGCUCGAAAGCGUGGGGAGCAAACAGGAUUAGAAACCCUAGUAGUCCA
rnacentral:rRNA from 1 species